ACGGGUGAGUAACGCGUGGGAAUCUACCGUGCCCUACGGAAUAACGCAUGGAAACGUGUGCUAAUACCGUAUACGCCCUACGGGGGAAAGAUUUAUCGGGGUAUGAUGAGCCCGCGUUGGAUUAGCUAGUUGGUGGGGUAAAGGCCUACCAAGGCGACGAUCCAUAGCUGGUCUGAGAGGAUGAUCAGCCACAUUGGGACUGAGACACGGCCCAAACUCCUACGGGAGGCAGCAGUGGGGAAUAUUGGACAAUGGGCGCAAGCCUGAUCCAGCCAUGCCGCGUGAGUGAUGAAGGUCUUAGGAUUGUAAAGCUCUUUCACCGGUGAAGAUAAUGACGGUAACCGGAGAAGAAGCCCCGGCUAACUUCGUGCCAGCAGCCGCGGUAAUACGAAGGGGGCUAGCGUUGUUCGGAAUUACUGGGCGUAAAGCGCACGUAGGCGGAUAUUUAAGUCAGGGGUGAAAUCCCAGAGCUCAACUCUGGAACUGCCUUUGAUACUGGGUAUCUUGAGUAUGGAAGAGGUAAGUGGAAUUCCGAGUGUAGAGGUGAAAUUCGUAGA
rnacentral:rRNA from 1 species